CAGAGGWKASKGMUAUCGURGAUUCGACUAAGSCAUGCGAGUUGAAUGUUCUUCGUGAACAUGGCGGACUGCUCAGUAACACGUGGACAACCUACCCUUGGGUCCGGCAUAAUCCUGGGAAACUGGGAAUAAUUCCGGAUAGGUCACCGAUGCUGGAAUGCGCGGUGGCCGAAAGCUCCGGCGCCCGAGGAUGGGUCUGCGGCCUAUCAGGGUUGUAGUGGGUGUAACGUACCUACUAGCCUACGACGGGUACGGGUUGUGAGAGCAAGAGCCCGGAGAUGGAUUCUGAGACACGAAUCCAGGCCCUACGGGGUGCAGCAGGCGCGAAAACUUUACAAUGCGGGAAACCGUGAUAAGGGGAUCUCGAGUGCCAGCAUAUAAUGUUGGCUGUCCAGAUGCCUAAAAAGCAUCUGUUAGCAAGGGCCGGGCAAGACCGGUGCCAGCCGCCGCGGUAACACCGGCGGCCCGAGUGGUAACCGCUAUUAUUGGGUCUAAAGGGUCUGUAGCCGGCCAGGUAAGUCCCUUGGGAAAUCUGGCAGCUCAACUGUCAGGCUGCUAGGGGAUACUGUUUGGCUUGGGACCGGGAGAGGUGAGAGGUACCUUGGGGGUAGGGGUGAAAUCUUGUGAUCCUCGAGGGACCACCAGUGGCGAAGGCGUCUCACCAGAACGGGUCCGACGGUAAGGGACGAAAGCUAGGGGCACGAACCGGAUUAGAUACCCGGGUAGUCCUAGCCGUAAACGAUGCUCGCUAGGUGUCAGUCACGGUGCGACCGUGAUUGGUGCCGUAGGGAAGCCGUGAAGCGAGCCACCUGGGAAGUAUGGCCGCAAGGCUGAAACUUAAAGGAAUUGGCGGGGGAGCACYACAWCGGGAUGGAGCCUGCGGUUUAAUUG
rnacentral:rRNA from 1 species